AUACGUAGGGAGCGAGCGUUGUCCGGAAUUACUGGGUGUAAAGGGUGCGUAGGCGGGACUGCAAGUCAGAUGUGAAAUGCCGGGGCUCAACCCCGGAGCUGCAUUUGAAACUGUGGUUCUUGAGUGAGGUAGAGGUAAGCGGAAUUCCUAGUGUAGCGGUGAAAUGCGUAGAUAUUAGGAGGAACAUCGGUGGCGAAGGCGGCUUACUGGGCCUUUACUGACGCUGAGGCACGAAAGCGUGGGGAGCAAACAGGAUUAGAUACCCUGGUAGUCCACGCUGUAAACGAUGAUGACUAGGUGUGGGGGGACUGAACCCUUCCGUGCCGCAGUUAACACAUUAAGUAAUCCACCUGGGGAGUACGGCCGCAAGGUUGAAACUCAAAUGAAUUGACGGGG
rnacentral:rRNA from 1 species